ensembl:misc_RNA 7SK 7SK RNA
GGAUGUGAGAGCUUUCUGACUGUGACGUCAGUCACGUUUCAUUAGGCUGAUUGGCUAGGCUGUGACCCACUUUCUCCCUACAUCCAUGUGCAUCCCCCCCCACCAGAAGGUGUGACAUCAGUCAAAGCAAACAACCUUCUCAAUAAGGGAGGUCUGUUCUUGGUCAAGGGUAUGUGAGUAUGCAUGCUCCCCUGUUAGAAUGUUAGCAGAACCUAUCUGAGUUGAAACUCUAAAGAAAUAAUGGGGUAGUUCAGUAAGUUGUGAGACACAGUAAAAAGUUGUCCAUU